AACUCCUUGUGAGGUAGAACUCUGGUCACUUGGGGCCACUUCCCCUCAUGGAGGGAAGGCCAAACAUCCCUUCCCGACUUAGCAAAGAGAAUUCAAAGGAUUUAUAUUAAAAUAUUUCACUUAGAUGUGUGUUUCCCUUCCGUUUCCUGUUCACACUAGACCCCAGCUUCAGACUCCAGCCUGGUUGACCCGUACAAAUAGGUGGAAUAUUGUUACAUGGAGCACCACAUUUUGAGGUAAGAGAAUGUCCUAGUGGGUGAGAGUGACCAUCCUGGGACUCUGACACUUUGCCAAGAACACUGUCUGCGAGAGUGGUUCCAGGAGCCAGGUAGUCCACCCUCCUUGGAGCUGCAAGCAGAAGGGUGCUCCCCGUAUCUUAAUGGGGCUAUCUUUUACCAGCAUCUGAACGGGCCUGAUGUUUUUCAGGGUGUUGUGCUGGAAUCCAUCAGUUAGUACUUAGAGGCAAAACAAUACACAGAAGAAAUGGAACAGGAUUUUUUUUUUUUAAGGGAUUGAACCCAAGAGCAGGAUUCUUAACAAAUGAAAAGGUGCAGCUGACUCUUAAGAGACCUGGACCUUGCCUGUUACUCCUCUGGCUCUGGUUGACUAACUCUCGUGUGAACUGGUGCUGAGGUUGGGAUUCUGUCACGCGGACGUGUGGAUGGGAAUUCAGGUCUUCUCCCCGAGCGGUCCUUGCAAGAGGCUGACAUUUCUAUAGGACAGUGUCCGGACCAUGCAAGCACAGGCCUACUUGGUAGUUAGCUGCAGCUUUGGCCCCAAGUCUGAAUGAGAACAGCCAGUUGCUCAGGCAAGACGGCCGUGGGGGAGUCACCAGAGCAGUACCACGGCUGCCACCCCUCCUAAGAGGCCCAGUGGACGGCGGCAGAGAUCAGACAGUGUGCUCCGGAAGUGAUAUCGUUCAAUUUUUUAGACUUUCAGCACAGUUAACGACGUACUUCCAUGUCCAGGAGCUUUUCCAAAGCCCUGGAAGAAACUGUAUAAACUAGAAACAUUAUACAUUUGGUUAAAGACGAGAGUGAUUUGAGGGAAAAGGUGUGUGGGACUCUUGAGAAGGAGCCACUGAAGGCGAAGGGCCCUCCUUGUGCAGACCUCCAGGGGCAGGAAGGAUGGUGGGUGCUUGGGACACUAGAGCCAGCUGAGGGAGACGUGAGGGCCGGGGUGCGGAAGCCUUGGUAGUACAAGUGGAAGCCUUUGGGGAUUUGAGCGGGGAUAGGUGUGCGAUUUGCUGGCUGCUGUGGGCCAAGGGGGUAACCCACGUUUCACCCAGCUCAGCACUAAGAUGUGGGUGAUGGAGGCACCCCUCAGAAGCCCCUAUUCCAGAGCAUGCCCACUGAUCCCAGUGUGAAAGGGACAGUUAGGGAAGUGGAGAAAAGAAAGCCACGUGGUGGCCAUUCAUUCCUGGUGCACACAGAACCCUGCUGGACACUUGAAAUCCCUGCCCCAGCAAGAGGAGGGAGCCGGGGACGGGUGAGAUGAGGUGGGAGCUCGUAGCACCAAAAGCACCUUGAUCUGCUAUUCAGUCUUGCCCUUUCAGCCACAGAGCAGCCGGCGGUGCUGUCUUCCCCGCACAGAGCCUCAGCCACGCGCAGCGGGAAGCUGCCUCGAGGGGCGUGCUGUCAGGAGGAGGAGCUGGGAGCCCUCAGCUUCCAGGGUGCCUUCUCCCAGGAUCAGCAUGGAGAAGCCUGCAGGCAGGAAAAGGAGAACCCAGGCCCCAGAGGCAGAGGCAGAUGUGCAGAAGGCCACUCUGAAAGGAGAGAAAGCAUCUGGUGGCAAGAGACCCGCAGCACCCAGAGAGCACCACAAGGAGCCGAGUCUGAGCCCUGAAGACGAGGCACAGCUCUUUGAUGCCUUCGACGCCUCGUUUAAAGAUGACUUUGAGGGUGUCCCUGUGUUCAUUCCUUUUCAGAGAAGGAAACCCUAUGAAUGCAGUGAGUGCGGACGAAUCUUUAAGCACAAGACGGAUCACAUUCGCCAUCAGAGAGUUCACACUGGGGAGAAGCCCUUUAAGUGUGAUCAGUGUGGGAAAACGUUCCGGCACAGCUCUGACGUCACCAAACAUCAGAGGAUCCACACUGGGGAGAAGCCGUUUAAGUGUGGGGAGUGUGGGAAAGCCUUCAACUGUGGCUCCAACCUCCUGAAACACCAGAAGACCCACACCGGAGAGAAGCCAUAUGAAUGCCAAGAGUGUGGGAAAGCCUUUGCCUACAGCUCCUGUCUUAUCCGGCACCGGAAACGCCACCCACGGAAGAAGCAUUGAGUGGGGGUGGCCUUCAGGUCACAGAGUUCCUGCUGGGGCACCAGGGCUCCCUCAUGCAGCAUCCGGUGAGGCCUGGGCCCUGUGCUGUGUGCUGUGCGUGCCUCUGGCUACCAUCCCUGUCGUCACCAGAAGAAUCCACCCAUCAGUGUGAGUUGGCAAGAGGCCUUUCUGCAUCAAGCUACAGUGGUGGCACGGAAGCUGCUCGAGGCUCCUUGCAGCCACAGCCAUUUUCCAUGCUGCUCUAUGCUGCUCAGUGCUCAACACAGAACAAACCAGCCUGUCACCUGCCAUCCAUGGGAUACCUGAGGACACCCCUGGGUUCAGUCCCCAGUAGGAGUGGCAUUCGUAGUUGGUGAAGGCUGAUGGCUCCUGAGUGGCCCUGCCUAUGGUGUCCACUCCACUCUGGUCCUGUUACUAACACCUUGAAGACUCCAUCUGUGGAUGCUCAGCCCCUUGGAUCCCUGAGUUUAGUCCCAGGAACUGAGCAGGCACCUGGGGCCCCAAGCUGGAUAGCAGUGGUCUGUGACCAGCUCUGGCUUCUUUACUAGGGUACCAGGCCCCAAGUUCAGCCCCGUCCCUGGAACUGAGCCGCACCUGUGCUCUCCCACCCAGCCGCCACCCCAGAUGGACAACCUGACUUACCCAGACCGACCCGUCAGACAUGGGCUCCUCGGCUCCUGAGUGCUGCCGCCUUGGGAGAUUCCUGCCCUGGCCGUGUGCUAGGCCCCCAGGGUGCUACCUGCAGCUUCCAUCCACUUGACCUUCAGACAUGGUGGUGGCCCUACCCCCUUGGUGGCCUCCACUCAGGUUAG
rnacentral:lncRNA from 1 species